CUCAGUAUAAAAAUAAAUCAGUAAAUAACAUGAGAGGUAUAUCUUUCUAGCAACAGGAACAGCCAAUCAGCAUCCUCUUCAUAGCAUAAUAGGCAGUGUCCAGUAUACUACUUCCUCUUUCAUUGCUACUCAUUCAGUUACGUGACACUGGGUCCCACGGUUCUUAAAGGAUCACUAUAGAGUCAGGAACACAAAUAUGUAUUCCUGACCCAAUAGUGAAAACUCACCAUUUAGGUGGCUUGCCCCCUCAGAAUGGG